rnacentral:rRNA from 1 species
AACGAACGCUGGCGGCAUGCCUAACACAUGCAAGUCGAACGAGACCUUCGGGUCUAGUGGCGCACGGGUGCGUAACGCGUGGGAACCUGCCCUUAGGUUCGGAAUAACUCCCCGAAAGGGGUGCUAAUACCGGAUAAUGUCUUCGGACCAAAGAUUUAUCGCCUUUGGAUGGGCCCGCGUUGGAUUAGCUAGUUGGUAGGGUAAAAGCCUACCAAGGCGACGAUCCAUAGCUGGUCUGAGAGGAUGAUCAGCCACACUGGGACUGAGACACGGCCCAGACUACUACGGGAGGCAGCAGUGGGGAAUAUUGGAAAGUGGGGGAAAGCCUGAUCCAGCAAUGCCGCGUGAGUGAUGAAGGCCUUAGGGUUGUAAAGCUCUUUUACCCGGGAUGAUAAUGACAGUACCGGGAGAAUAAGCUCCGGCUAACUCCGUG